GGUGCAGCACCGCUUCGAGGAACUGGACGGCUACGCACUGGAGGGUCGCGCGCGCGAAGUCCUCGCGGGUCUGAGCUUCAGUCAGGAAAUGAUGGACGGUGAUGUCGGCGCGCUGUCGGGCGGCUGGAAAAUGCGCGUGGCGCUUGCCCGUAUCCUGCUCAUGCGGCCUGACGCGAUGCUGCUAGACGAACCGAGCAACCAUCUGGAUCUCGAGAGUCUCAUCUGGCUGGAGGAAUUCCUGAAAGGUUAUGAGGGCAUGCUGCUGAUGACUUCGCAUGAUCGCGAGUUCAUGAACCGCAUCGUGACCAAGGUGGUGGAGAUCGACGGCGGCUCGUUGACGUCGUACUCGGGCAACUA
rnacentral:misc_RNA from 1 species